rnacentral:rRNA from 1 species
GUUGACGUAUUCUGAAAGGGAUACUUCUUCGGACAAUAUACAAGGUGCUGCAUGGUUGUCGUCAGCUCGUGCCGUGAGGUGUCGGGUUAAGUCCCAUAACGAGCGCAACCCCUAUCAUUAGUUGCCAUCAGGUCAAGCUGGGGACUCUAAAGGAACUGCCUACGCAAGUAGUGAGGAAGGCGGGGAUGACGUCAAAUCAGCACGGCCCUUACGUCCAGGGCUACACACGUGCUACAAUGGCCGAUACAGAGGGCAGCUACCUGGUGACAGGAUGCAAAUCUCCAAAGUCGGUCUCAGUUCGGAUCGGAGUCUGCAACCCGACUCCGUGAAGUUGGAUUCGCUAGUAAUCGCGCAUCAGCCAUGGCGCGGUGAAUACGUUCCCGGGCCUU